AUGCAUUGUCAGGGUUUGGAGAAGUUCCUGGAACAUCGAGCUCCUGAUCCUUUUAUGAUUUCGAUUCCUUUUACAAAUGCCUUGCGAAAGCUCUCUUGGAUAUUUCAGCAUUUACAUCAUGCUGUGGAAUGAUAACUGGUACCUUAGAAACAUCCAGUCACGAACUGCAUGAUGAGUGCAGAGCAAACUAAAA